GCGUUUAUAAAUAUCGACACUGCACAAAGUCAAAAUCUUGGUUACAAUUGGGGGUAAAGGUAAAGUCAGAACAAAAUUUUAGGGGAUAAAUAAAAUUUUAAUUUUUUAUAGUUUAUAUCUUUAUAAGUUUUAAAAGAUCAAAUCAAAUUUUUAUAAUUUUAGGGGGGCUAAAGUGUAAUUUUACCUUUAAUAAUUUAAAAUUUUAAAAAAAUUUAAAGUCCUAAAUAGCAAUUUUACUUUUUAGAGGGGGUCGAGGCCCUGUCAACCCCCUUAAAUUCGCCUCUGAUUGGGGGCGCGAAACCUGUUAGGGCAAGAUAGAGAUGGCACUAAUAGAAAAAGAUCUAGCGGACUUGAGUCUUGAUGAGGAAGAAGAUGAUGGUGUGUAGUUUGAGGCGGGGGCUAAACCACAGAAACAGAUGUAUGACUUGUGUUUAGUCGGAUGUUAUCAGAUGUUGUCUUACAGCAAGUGUGGUUCACUUUCUGGCACUGAAAAACACAAUGGCCAAUUUAUGGCAUCCAUUGGGAGGAAUCUAGAUUUAUGACUUAGGAGAAAAACUUUAUUUAUUUAGAUUCUUCUAGAAGGUUGAUGUGGAGUGAGUGAUGAGUGGACCGCCUUGGAUUUUUAAUAACCAUCUUCUUCUACUUCAUAGGCUAAGAGUUUAGGAAGAUCUGAAUGUAAUUUCGUUGCUAUACUGUGAUUUCUAGGUGAAGGUACAUGAUCUUCCAACAGGAUAUUUUUUAGAUCAUGUGGCUCAACAAUUAGGGGAAUUUGUUGGAAAAUUUUUGGAACAUGAUACAAAAGAAUUUGACCAAGGUCUUAGAAAUUUUAUGCGUAUUAAGGUUCAAAUAGAUAUAAGAAAGCCGCUAAGAAGGAAGAAAAAAAAUCCUAACUCCCCAAUCAGAUCUAGUCUAUGUGAAAUUUCGGUAUGAAAAAUCGUCCCUACUUUGUUUUCUUUAUGAAUGUUUGGGGCAUGGAGAUAGAUUUUGUUGAAAAAUAAUUAACUUAGGGUUAAGAGAAGUGGAACGUGGAUAGGAUGAUUCGUCAAGGGCACAACCAAGAAGAGCUAGUAUUACACCUAGCAUGUGGUUAAGGGAGGAUAAUAUGGGAAGACAUUUCGGGAAAGUAGAUGGUAAGGAAGAGGUGCGUAAUAAUAAAAAAGGAUAAGUGAUUUUGAUAAAUGCCAAAAGUAACAUGUUUAGACUCAUUCUUAAUGUGUGUUUGGAUGAUUAUUCGAUUUAAAAUGGUGGAUUUUAUGCUCCUAAUCCUUUAAAUUCAUGCUUCUAUACUUAAGAGAGUAUUUGGGAGCAAAAGAAGCGAAAAACAAGUGAAAAUCGAAAAAUCAAAGUAAGUUUCAAGAGCCACACGGGCUAGGCCAUUCCACAUGGGCUAGACACAAGACUGUGUAAGCCACACGGGCUGCCACAUGACUAUGUGUCAAACCGUGUGGAUUUCACAAACUACAUUCCAAAUACGCAGAAAAACACAAUUUUUAGGUUUUUCGACCAUUCUAAGACUUAUAUAUACCAAAUAUAAGAAGGGAUCAAGUCAUCAUAGAAUAUUAGAGAAAAUAACUCGAAAAACAACAUUGAAGUCGACUCUAAAGCAUAUUUCUACCAAGAUUGAAGAUCUCUUUUUGAUUUCUUUGAAGCUUAUUAUGAGUUUCUCAAUUUCUUGCGGUUAUACUGUCUUUGAGAUGUUUUUAUUCGCAAUUAUGAACUAAUUUUCUAAAUACCUAAGGGAGAUGAACCCUAUGAUGAAUUAUGUCUUUUGAUUUCUAUUUUACGCAAUAAAUACUUAGAUCUUGUUCUCAAUUUUGUGUGCUUAAUUCUUAAUUUAAUAUUUCCAAACUAUUAAUCCAUGUUUGAUGUGCUUAAAUAGAGGAGGAAAAGUCUCUGUUUAAGAGUAGAUCUAGCAUAAUUGAGUGGAGUUGCAUGCAAUCCUAAAAAUAGGACAACAUAAAUCUACCAGAUUAAAGUCAAAUCUAAUAGAGGGAUCCAUAAAUCGAUUUAAUGCGAUAAUAGGGGUUUUAAUUAGAAAGAAAUUUCAAUUAAUGUUGUCCUAUUUCUAAGAUUGCUCUUAGUCUUGAAAAGAUAUUAGCAUACUUUUGAGAUUACGGAUCAAGAUACUAAGUGAAGAAAUUGUUUAAUUCAGAUUGAUAAUGACAGAUGAAGUUUAGGUGAAUUCUCUCUUAGAUAUUGUUUCACUUCUUGAUUGUUUUCUUGAUAUAUUCUUAAUUUUUUCUUUGUUGUAUUCUUUAGAUAAUUUAAUUAGUUAAUUUUAGUUUUAAUCAAUCACUCCAAUUUGUCGGUUAUAUAAUAGGAAAAUGGUAAUUACUAGUACUUUUAUUCUUCGUGGGAAUGAUAUCUAUGCUCAUAGUAGUUAUAUUAUUAAUUGAUAAGUACACUUGACUUUGUUGAAUUUUUAGUUGGUUUACGAUUGCAUCAGAUUUCAAUGUACAUCAUAAUAGGGGGUUUAUGAACUAGACCAUAGGGCUUAAUUUGGACGUUAAUUGGAGGCAAGAUAAUAGGAAAGGGGGAUAUGUCUAAGUAAAGGGGAAAAUAAGGAUAUGGAAGAAAAUAAUGAGACACAGCUAGAAAACAAUAAAGGGAAGAAGUGACAUAAGCCAGAUGGCCAAGUUCAAGCUAGAUUCACGUAUGAAGAGGAGAGUGUAAAAGGAGAACAAAGAGGAAUAACUUGCAUGAAACAGAUAUCGACAAUUGCCAAUAGGUAAACCGACUGGACGCAAUAAAAAUCCUAAGCCAGAAUUUUCGUAGAUUGGGGAGUCCACAAGGCGGUAGAAGACUUCAGCAUAUGCUGAGGCUGUAUAAUCCCCAGGUGGUCUUCUUUAUGGAGACUAAACUAGACAACUUUCGAAUGGAAAAAGUUAGACGACAUUGUGGGUUUCACUAUUACAUUGAUGUCUCGGUAACUAGAACUAAGGGUAGUCUAAUCCUUGGAUGGAAAAGUGAGGUAUUGGUUAACUUGAGGAGCUUCUCCAAUAAUCACAUUGAUGUUACUAUUGAGGAUAGUGAAGCUAGAUUAAAUUGGCAAUUAAUAGGAUUUUAGGGAGCACUAGAGGCUUGCAGAAGAAGUGAGGCUUGGGAUAUUUUCAGGACAUUAGGUCGUGAGUAAGUAAUGACAUGGCUGGUUUGUGGUGACUUUAAUGAUAUUUUUUUUCUUUUGAAAAAGAAAUGGGGAACGCCAUGAGAUGAAGGACAAAUGGAAUAGUUUAGGACAGUUUUGAAUGAUUGCCAAUUUGAGGAUGUGGGAUAUGUUGAUAGGUGGUUUACUUGGGAACGAGGGAACCUCCCCAAAACAAAUAUUAGGGAACGACUUGAUAGAAGGGUGGCCAAUAGGGAAUGGGUUAAUCUAUUUCCUAAAUAUACAAGUCGACAUUUGUCUCAUUCUUUUUUUGACCAUUGUCCUUUUUUCUUUCAAACUAAAACGGAGGGGAUUAGCGAAAGGAGGAAAGAAUUCAGAUUUGAGGUAUGGUGGACCAUAGAGAUAUCUUGCAAUGAAGAAGUUAAGAGGUUAUGGAUGACAGGUAGAUGUGAGGUCGUAAAGAAAUUAGAGGCAGUAGGAAAAGGUCUGUAUAGAUGCAUAAUGGGGAUUAAAAAACUUAGAUAGAGUUUAUUGAGGAAUUUACUUGCCUAUGUUGAGGAAUUAGAUGGAAUGAAGAAGACAGAUGAAAAUGUGCCAUAAUUGAUUGAUGCCAAAAUUCAUCUAAAUUUGGAAAUUGAAAAAGAGAAGAGAUAUUGGGGGCUAAGAGCAAGGAUGAAUUGGCUAAAAGAAUGAGAUAGAAAUCCAAAAUUCUUCCACAAUUAUGUGUCUCAAAGGUGAAGGGAAAAACGUGUUGAAAAACAAAAUGAUGAGAAAGGAAAAAUUACCUUGGAUAGGAGAGAGAUGGCAGAAGUGCCAAAAAGAUAUUUCAAAAACUUGUUCGCCUCAAGUGGAGUUAGCGAUUCUGAAUAUAUAUUAUCGCGAAUUAAUGUUCGCAUUUCAGAGGAUAUGAACAAAGAAUUGACGGAGGAAUUCACAAGGGAAGAAAUUGUUUCUACUAUUAAAAGUAUGGGGCCAACAAAAGCCCCCCGGAGCAAUGGGUUUCCGACAAUUUUCUUCCAACAAUAUUGGGAUAUUGUUGGGAAAGAGAUUGGCGAUUUCUAUCUUGAUAUUUUGAAUAAUGGCAGUUCGGUUGAUAAAGUUAAUUAGUUCUUUUACCCAAAGUAGCAAGCCCAACCAACCUCAAGAUUUUUUGACCUAUUAGCCUAUGCAUAGUAAUCUAUAAGAUUAUAUCAAAGCUAGAGGCUAAUCAGCUCCAAAAAGUAUUAGAUGUAUGCAUCGAUAAGGCCCAAAAUGCUUAAAAGUCAGGAAGACUUAUUACGGAUAAUGUCCUAUUAGCUUACGAGUUAAUGCAUACCUUCAAACAGAGAAAAGUGGGACAACAUGGAAGUCUAGCACUAAAACUAAACAUUAGUAAGGCAUACAUUAAAAUGGAAAGGUUUUUUCUGGAAAAAGUUUUAUAGAAGUUAAGGUUUGCGAGGCAUUUCGUGACAUUAAUCAUGCGUUGUGUAACAAUGAUAAGUUACUUGAUAUGUUUAAAUGGGGAUUUAGGCAGAAGGUUUAAAUAGAUGAGAGCGCUGAGACAAGGUGAUCCCCUAAGCCCCUAUUUAUUCUUAAUCAGUAGUGAGGGUUUAUCAUCACUAAUGCAGUUAGCUGCACAGAAAGGUACCAACAAAAGGGAAAAAGUGUGUCGUAAGAGUCCUACUAUCACACAUCUUCUUUUUGCGAAUGAUUGCAUUUUAUUUGAAAAUGCCACAAAAAGGAGAGCUCAUGACCUCAAGACCAUUUUACAGGAAUAUGAAGGUUGCUCUGGCUAGUUCAUUAAUUUUGAUAAGUCAAUGGCAUUUUUUAGUAUGAACGUUUCGGAGCAAAAGAGGGAGCAAAUUGCAAAUAUACUGGAAGUGCGAACCUCAAGAAAUUCAAAAAAAUAACUAAGGUUAUCAAAUAUGAUAGGGAGGGAUAAAAAAAGAACUUUCCAGCUCCUUAAGGAUAUGAUGUUAAGUAAAAUCAAAGGAUGGAGCACAAGAUUCUUGUAGAUUGGAGAUAGGGAGGUAUUUAUAAAAGCAGUAUUACAGGAAAUCCAUACAUACACUAUGACAGGUUUUUUAUUACCAAAAUCGCUUUAUGCAUAAUUGGAAAACAUUAUGGGGGGAUUUUGGUGGCAAACAGUCAUAAUAAACGUGGUAUUCAUUGGUGUAAGUGGAGAAAGCUUGGUGAGCUAAAAGAGGAUGGAGGGAUGGGAUUUAGAUGCUUAUCAAAAUUUAAUGUAGAGAUGUUAGCAAAACAAGGGUGGCAUUUAAUUUGCUAUCCGGAUUCGUUAUUAGAAAAAUCAUUAAAAGCCAAGUAUUAUCCCAAUUCAUGUUUCAUGCAAGCUAGAUUGGGGACCGUACCAUCUUAUACAUGGAGAAGUGUAUGGUUGACAAGAGGACUCCUUGAAAAAGGAAUAUGCUGGCAAAUUGGGUUAGGAAAGCAAGUCCAAAUUUGGGAUAAGGCGUGGAUCCCGGGCACUGAUGAAUACAAAUUAUAGCAUCCAAAUAUUAAUCAGCGUUUUUUACAUGUAUCAGACCUAAUAGAACAAAACACAAACCAAUGGAAGGAAGAGCUAAUAUGAGGUACCUUUCACACUGAAGAUGCCGAAAGGAUCCUAUGCAUUCCCCUUUCUUUGGAGCAAGAAAUGGACAGAAUGGUUUGGCGCGGUGAAACAUCAGGGGUGUAUACAAUGUGGAGUGGUUACAAAAAUUUAAUGCAAAUCGACAGCAAAAUAAACAUACAAGCAGACCAUAAUUAUUACAAACCAAUGUACAAAAAGCUAUGGACGAUAGACUUGCCCUCAAAAACAAAAAUUCUGGUAUGGAAAACCCUAAAUAAUUUUUGACCUACUUUUUCUAACCUAUCUCAGCGAAGACUAGGGAAUGUUGCAAAUUGCUCGAGAUGCGUCAACAGUCUCGAAACCACAGUUCAUGUGUUCAAGGGCUGCCCUUUUGCUGAUGUAGUGUGGUCCAGGCUGGGUAUCAAGUGGACCUUGGAAUAAGGCCAAUUAUAAUAUAAGGACUGGAUGAAGGUGCUGUUUGAAAAAGUAUCAAGCCAAUAGAUAAAAACAAUCGUGGGUACCAUUUGGGGUUUAUGGAUGGCUAGGAAUAAAUUGCUACAUGAGAAUAAGGUACAAAUAGAAGCAAGCUUGAUCCAGUUUAUCACAGAUUAUAUUCAGGAAAUAGAAGGGGUAAAAGAGAAACUACCUGUUAGCUCAGUAUUCAACGAAUAUUGGAAGCCCUCGAGAAUCACAAAUGUUAAAAUAAAUUUCGAUACUGCAUUUGAUAAGCAAAAUAAGAGAUCAUGCACUGGAGUCGUCAUUCGAGACACUACUAGUAAUGUUUUAAAAUCAAUAACCUACAAAAACGAGCACAUACCGAUAGCAUUUGCAGUUGAGGCACUCACAUGCGUCCAGGCGGUUAGAUUCAAGGCAAAAUUAGGAUUUCUUCCAGUUGAAGUUGAAAGCGACGCGUUAACUAUUUUUAAAAAAAAAGUACAAAGUCAGGAAAAUGACAGAUUCGAGAUAAGAGACUAUAUCUCAGAUGCAUAAAGAUUAAGAAGCAACUUUGUUACUUGUAGGUUUAAACUUGCAAGGAGACAAACAAACACAGUAGCUCAUAUCCUAGCAACAGAAGGGUUAAAGGAAAGGGGAAAUACUCAUCUGACUCCUGGCCUUUCCAGUGCAGUUGCUAGGACCGUCGCGGCUGACAAAAAUGGCGAAGUAGUAGGAAGCGGAGGGCUCAUGACAUAAAACCAUGAAACACGGAAGUAUUUUUGAAGGAAAGGCGACAUAGAUUUGAAAAGAGAAUGUUAGAUUCUUUGUUUUCUCAGAUUAAUAAUUAAGGAGAUAAAGGAAUGGUACCUCAUAGUCACUGGUGCUUAGAGAUCUAGCAACCUAAAAAGCGAGUUAAUUCGCCAUUGAAGAGGUACCUUUCAUCUGAUGCAUGUAGGAGGUGGUGGCCAUCCUUCGGAGCAUUGAAAAGACGAAAUGAGUGAAGAUGGUGAGAGAUGUGCAGAAAUGGGAACUGGCUGUGGGGUAGAGGUUUUAAGGUUUCUUCUUUUUUAGUUUGUUUUUAGGAUGUGGGCUAAUGUAGGCUUAGGUUUAGGAUGGGUUAGGAUUUUGGGCUUUAUUUUUUUUUGUAGGGUAUUCCCUUUUAAAUUUGAUGUUCUUCUUUUGGUUAAUUUACCUAAAUAAUUAAAAUAAAUAAAUACUGAAAUAGGUUGUCG
rnacentral:lncRNA from 1 species